CUCAAUACCAGAACAAAGCAAAAAUCUCGAUUUUUAAAAAUCAAAUGAAUCUUUAACACCCUCUAGAGUCGAAGUCCGCGCCCCCACUGAAAUCUAAUUGGCAUAACCUAAUCAGUUUAAUGUAGCGAUAUCCUGUUUUUUGCAUUGGAUGAGUCUCAAUCCGCCGCAUCCUCCGAUGUCAUACUUCCACAUCUGCAGUAAAAGUUCUGCCCACUCUGACUCUGGUUCCUGUCUCCAGUCCCAUGUCUCCUCAUCCUGCUACUCUGCCCUGGAUUUCCCACUCUACUUCUCCCUUGGAUACCCCUUCGGACCUGCCUACCCUGUCCCAACCCCUCUCGCUCCAGCCUCAGCCUCCGCACCUGGUUUUCUGCAACUCGCCCGAGCUUCCCCCGGCCUGCACUCCAUCUUCCCCCUGUGUUUCAAUAAAUACCUUGGUUACUUC
ensembl:lncRNA